rnacentral:rRNA from 1 species
GACGAACGUUGGCGGCGUGCUUAAUACAUGCAAGUCAACUGAAGCAGUGGUAGCAAUAUCGCUGUGGAGGUGGCGCACGGGUGAGUAACACGUAGGUAAUCUGCCUUCAGGUCUGGCAUAACUCCGGGAAACCGGGGCUAAUAGCAGAUGAUGCAGCGGCUCGACAUCGAGACAGUUGUUAAAGCUAUGGCGCCUGAAGAUGAGCCUGCGUCUGAUUAGCUAGUUGGCGGGGUAACGGCCCACCAAGGCAACGAUCAGUAGCUGGUCUGAGAGGAUGAUCAGCCACACUGGAACUGAGACACGGUCCAGACUCCUACGGGAGGCAGCAGUAAGGAAUAUUGCUCAAUGGGAGAAAUCCUGAAGCAGCAACGCAGCGUGAGGGACGAAGGGCUUUUGCCUGUAAACCUCUGUAGUGAGAGAAAAAAAUCCCAAUCUUUGGGACAUGAUGGUAUCUCAAAAGUAAGCCCCGGCUAACUACGUG